rnacentral:rRNA from 1 species
GAUGAACGCUAGCGAUAGGCCUAACACAUGCAAGUCGAGGGGCAUCACAUGAAGUAGCAAUACGGAUGGUGGCGACCGGCGCACGGGUGAGUAACACGUAUGCAACCUGCCUUCAACAAGGGGAUAACCCGUUGAAAGACGGACUAAUACCCUAUAACACAGGGGUCCCGCAUGGGAAUAUUUGUUAAAGGACAACCGGUUGAAGAUGGGCAUGCGUUCCAUUAGCUAGUUGGCGGGGUAACGGCCCACCAAGGCAACGAUGGAUAGGGGGAACUGAGAGGUUUAUCCCCCACACUGGUACUGAGACACGGACCAGACUCCUACGGGAGGCAGCAGUGAGGAAUAUUGGUCAAUGGGCGAAAGCCUGAUGCAGCAACGCCGCGUGAGCGAUGAAGGCCUGGUCGUAAGCUCUGUCCUAUGGGAA